UUCAUUGUGAAUUUUAAUGAAAAUUCAUUAAAAAAAAAAAAACUACGUAAGCUAGGCUGCUGAUAUUAAAUACGGCAGUAGUUAAUCAAAUUCUGGAACUAAUAAAAAAAGCCCGGUCUCGAUACAUCUAUUUUUUCGAGAGUUAUCGUGUUUCCAUAAAAAAUCAGCGUAAUUAAGUUAUUUUUUACAGAGUAUUUUAGAAUAUUUUUUGAAUUAUUGCCGCCUAAUUUUCUUAUCAUAUGCGCGUGCCUAAAAAAAUCUAGUAAUGUGAUUGGUUGAUCUCAUUUUAACUUGAUUAAGUGGCACCAUAGUUUCCACGUGAGAGAAAUAAGAAAAGUUAUUUUUUGUACGUGUGUAUCAUUGUAAAUUUUAAUUAAAAUUCAUUUAAAAAAAAACUACGCAAACUAGGCUACUGAUAUUAAAUACGGCAGCAGUUAAUCGAAUUCUGGAACUAAUAAAAAAAGCCCGGUCUCGAUACAUCUAUUUUUUCGGGAGUUAUCGUGUUUACUUACAAAAUCAGCGUACAGACAUCCGGACGUCCACGUAAAAUUUUUUUCAAAACGUUUUCUUUUCAAAGUAGCAACAUAAAAUUAUUUUUAUAAACUAUAAGAUGGAUUAAUUAAAGUGUUAUCUCGAUGUACGCCUACUCAUAUUAUUGUACAAGUGCAGUAUGGUUGUGAUAGAGGCAUUUUAAGCUCACAAAAUUACUUGACCUUGACGCGUCGGGAAUAAAGCACUACCUCAACCGUUUCGAGUUAUAAGUGUGGCGAAAUCAACAAUUCGCUUUUUAGACGAUAUUAUGACAUACCCACGCGCUUUACGCUUAAUACAUGCGUAUGGAAAUAAGAAGGUACUACUUUCAAUUUUAAAUGUAAGCUAAAGCACAAUAAAUUAUUUUUUCUAAACAAGAAUAGAACAAGAAGAACGUAUGAAAUUAACCUCGAUGGAAGAAUUUUUUUAAAUUGGUGAGAAAU